AUGUGGACUGAUGAGCUCCAAGUCUCUAUUCAUACUGCUGCUUUCCACUAUAUUUUAGCUAAUGUAGUCCACGUAGCUUCUGGGGUCAGCUUUUGCUUGAUUUGUAUAUAUGGUAACCCGUAUCAUAGGCAGACUAGUGCCAUUUGGAAGCAAGUUUCAGCUUUUGUAUAUGAUAACCUAGGCAAGCCCAUGGUAUGUAUGGGGGACUUGAAUGAUAUCCUGUAUGAUGUUGACGGAUGUAAUGGUAAUAUCAACUACUAUUGUAUGCAUGCCUUU
rnacentral:rRNA from 1 species